UUUUUAACUGAGGAAGAUGCUGAGACUUUUCAAGGAGCAACUGAAGACUCAGAGAUGCAAUUGGAUGCUCUAACUAGUAGUGUUGAAGACUUAAAAUACAUGUAUCAGAAAUUAACUGGCCAGGUACUGGGUACACAGAAAGCAAUGGAAGUAUCAGAUGAAAUCUGCCUGGAAUUGAUGGAUGAAGUUGCAGAACUGAAAGGCAAACUAACAAGAUUGGAGCAGUAUCCUGUACACUUAAAAUGUAUAUCGAAUGAGCUUGAAGAUUUCAAGAGCAAUUUAGUGAGCUUUUGUGAGGAGAAUCACAUGAUUCAUGGAUAUUGCAGAAGUCUGAAAAAGCAAGUCAACUCUCUUUCUACAAAAUUAACUACAUUAGAGGAGAUUUCAUUAUGUCUUGCAACAAAAUGAAAACAGGAGAGAGGAAUCUUCUCAAGACUACAACUAUGAUCCUAUUGGAAGUAAUAG
rnacentral:lncRNA from 1 species